UUUAGAAUAAUCAUCCAUCGUUUCAGACGGAUCAAUCAUCCAUCGCUCCGGCUAGAUGAUAUCCGUCUUUUCAACCUCAUGUAUCAUCCAUCGCUUUGGCUGGAUGAUACACGUUGCUCAGACCUAGCUUACGACCCGCGAGUCUAAGCGAUGGUUACAAAAUCCAAUUUACGUCCAGAGUGGCUAAAUUGCGAUCACAAGUCUAGUUUACGAUUUAUGAGUCCAAAGUGCGACUUAAGAAUCUAAAUCGGAUUUUCAUUUACGAAUCUAGCCCCG
rnacentral:lncRNA from 1 species